AUUGAACGCUGGCGGCAGGCCUAACACAUGCAAGUCGAACGAGUGGCGGACGGGUGAGUAAUGUCUGGGAACCUGCCUGCUGGAGGGGGAUAACUACUGGAAACGGUAGCUAAUACCGCAUACCAUCGGAUGUGCCCCGAUGGGAUUAGCUAGUAGGUGGGGUAAAGGCUCACCUAGGCGACGAUCCCUAGCUGGUCUGAGAGGAUGACGAGCGACAGUGGAAAUGGGACACGGUGCAGACUCCUACGGGAGGCAGCAGUGGGGAAUAUUGGACAAUGGGCGCAAGCCGGAUGCAGCAAUGCCGCGUGUAUGAAGAAGGCCUUCGGGUUGUAGAGUGCUUUCAGCGGGGAGGCGGUACCCGGAGAAGAAGCACCGGCUAACUCCGUGCCAGCCGCCGCGGUAAUUC
rnacentral:rRNA from 1 species